GUGCCAGCCGCCGCGGUAAUACGGAGGGGGUUAGCGUUGUUCGGAAUUACUGGGCGUAAAGCGCACGCAGGCGGUUUGUUAAGCUAGAUGUGAAAGCCCCGGGCUCAACCUGGGAUGGUCAUUUAGAACUGGCAGACUAGAGUCUUGGAGAGGGGAGUGGAAUUCCAGGUGUAGCGGUGAAAUGCGUAGAUAUCUGGAGGAACAUCAGUGGCGAAGGCGACUCCCUGGCCAAAGACUGACGCUCAUGUGCGAAAGUGUGGGUAGCGAACAGGAUUAGAUACCCUGGUAGUCCACACCGUAAACGCUGUCUACUAGCUGUUUGUGACUUUAAGUCGUGAGUAGCGAAGCUAACGCGCUAAGUAGACCGCCUGGGGAGUACGGCCGCAAGGUUAAAACUUAAAUGAAUUGACGGGG
rnacentral:rRNA from 1 species